ensembl:Y_RNA Y_RNA Y RNA
UGCUGGUCUGAUGGUAGUGGGUUAUCAGAACUUACUAACAUUAGUGUAACUAAAGUUGGUAUACAACCACCCCACUGCUGAAUUUGACUAGUAAAAA